GGUUUUCCUCGGUUGAGCGGCAGACUGUAAAUCUGCCCGGGUUUCCCGUACGCUGGUUCGAAUCCAGCCCUCUCCACCA
rnacentral:tRNA from 1 species